AAGGAAUAUUGCUCAAUGGGAGAAAUCCUGAAGCAGCAACGCCGCGUGGAGGAUGAAGGGUCUAUGACUUGUAAACUCCUGUAAAGAAGGAAAAAAUUCCCAUUUGAUGGGAGAUGAUGGUACUUCUGGAGUAAGCCCCGGCUAACUACGUGCCAGCAGCCGCGGUAAUACGUAGGGGGCAAGCGUUGUCCGGAUUUACUGGGUGUAAAGGGUGCUCAGGCGGAUUUGUAAGUCAGAGGUGAAAUCUUACAGCUUAACUGUGAAACUGCCUUUGAUACUGCAAGCCUAGAGUAUGGAAGAGAGUGAUGGAAUAUCUGGUGUAGCAGUGAAAUGCGUAGAUAUCAGAUAGAACACCAAUGGCGAAGGCAGUCACUCGGUCCAUUACUGACGCUAAAGCACGAAAGCGUGGGUAGCAAACA
rnacentral:rRNA from 1 species